UAGUCCAUGCCGUAAACGAUGAUUACUCGAUGUUGGUUCGCCAGUGUCUAAGCGAAAGUUAUAAGUAAUCCACCUGGGGAGUACGAUCGCAAGAUUGAAACUCAAAGGAAUUGACGGGGGCCCGCACAAGCGGUGGAGCAUGUGGUUUAAUUCGAUGAUACGCGAGGAACCUUACCUAGGCUUAAAUGUUAUAUGACAGCUUGUGAAAGCAAGUUUCCCUUGUGGCAUAUAAUAAGGUGCUGCAUGGUUGUCGUCAGCUCGUGCUGUGAGGUGUCGGGUUAAGUCCCAUAACGAGCGCAACCCUUGUCUUUAGUUGCCAUCAUUUAGUUGGGCACUCUAGAGAAACUGCCGGUGACAAACCGGAGGAAGGUAAGGAUGACGUCAAGUCAGCAUGCCCCUUACGCUCUGGGCUACACACGUGCUACAACGGUCGUGACAAAGAGUUGCUAGUCUGCGAAGGCAAGCCAAUCUCAUAAACGCGGCCUUAGUUCGGAUUGCAGG
rnacentral:rRNA from 1 species